rnacentral:rRNA from 1 species
GUAGUCCACGCCGUAAACGUUGGGAACUAGAUGUGGGGGCCAUUCCACGGCUUCCGUGUCGCAGCUAACGCAUUAAGUUCCCCGCCUGGGGAGUACGGCCGCAAGGCUAAAACUCAAAGGAAUUGACGGGGGCCCGCACAAGCGGCGGAGCAUGCGGAUUAAUUCGAUGCAACGCGAAGAACCUUACCAAGGCUUGACAUAUACGAGAACGCUUCAGAAAUGAAGAACUCUUUGGACACUCGUAUACAGGUGGUGCAUGGUUGUCGUCAGCUCGUGUCGUGAGAUGUUGGGUUAAG